AAUUUUGGACAAUGGGGGCAACCCUGAUCCAGCCAUGCCGCGUGUGUGAAGAAGGCCUUUUGGUUGUAAAGCACUUUAAGUUGGGAGGAAGGGCAGUAAGUUAAUACCUUGCUGUUUUGACGUUACCAACAGAAUAAGCACCGGCUAACUCUGUGCCAGCAGCCGCGGUAAUACAGAGGGUGCAAGCGUUAAUCGGAAUUACUGGGCGUAAAGCGCGCGUAGGUGGUUCGUUAAGUUGGAUGUGAAAUCCCCGGGCUCAACCUGGGAACUGCAUCCAAAACUGGCGAGCUAGAGUAGGGCAGAGGGUAGUGGAAUUUCCUGUGUAGCGGUGAAAUGCGUAGAUAUAGGAAGGAACACCAGUGGCGAAGGCGACUACCUGGACUGAUACUGACACUGAGGUGCGAAAGCGUGGGGAGCAAACA
rnacentral:rRNA from 1 species